rnacentral:rRNA from 1 species
UUGAAAAUGGUGUCUUAAAUUAAAGGUAUGUGAUGAAAUAUUUUAAUAAAAAUAAUUUUAAAUAAGUGAGUUGAAGUAUAUUUUAUAGAACAAAUUUUUAGGAUUUUAUAGUGAAAGGUGUAUUGUGAAAGAUUGGUGAAAUAAUAGAAAAAUUAAUUUAUUUAAAAGUAGUUAGAUAAUGUACCUUGUGUAUCAGGGUCAAUUAAAAUUAUAUUAGAAAUAUUAAUUAUUCUCGAUAUAAAGUGAGUAAUGAUAUUAAAAUUUAAAAUGUUAAAUAAUUUUAUUUAAUAGUAUUAUGGGAAUGAAAUGUUUACGAACUUUAAGGUAUCUAGUUAUCUAAGAAAUGAAUUUAAUUCAAAUAUUGAUUUUGUUAUUUAUUAUUUGUUAUGAGUAAUGGUUUUAAUAUUACUAAUUAAGGGGAUUAGCUCUUAGUUGUUAUUAAUAAUUUGUUAUAUUAAAAAAUAAGAAUUAGACUUUAAAGUAGUUGGAUUUUUGUGGUGUUAUAACCUAUUUGAGUAUAAAUUAUAUUUAGUGAAGUGAUUUUAAUGUUAUAUUAGAUUAAUUUUGUUAAUAGUUAAGAGAAUGGAAUAAUGAUUGAAUUAGUAUAUUUGAAUUGUAUAAUGUAAUAAGGAAAGUAAAUUUAUAAUAAGGAAUUCGGCAAAAUUAAUGCUCGCCUGUUUAGCAAAAACAUGUCUUUUUGUUUAUUUAGAAAGUCUGACCUGCCCACUGAUGUAUUUAAAGGGCCGCGGUAUUUUGACUGUGCAAAGGUAGCAUAAUCAUUAGUUUUUUAAUUGAGGACUGGAAUGAAUGGUUGGACGAAGUAUUAGCUGUCUCAUUAUAAAAUAUAAAAUUUAAUUUUUUAGUAAAAAAGCUGAAAUAAAUGUAGAGGACGAGAAGACCCUAUAAAGUUUAAUAUGAUAAUAUUUAUAAUAAAUUUAGUUGAAAUUAAGUUGUAGUUAUUAUUGUAUUUGGUUGGGGUGACUUGAAGAAUAAAUAAACUCUUUAUGAUUUGUGAACUGUUAUGUUAGAAUAAUUGAUCCAUUAUUAAUGAUUGAAAGAUUAAAUUACUUUAGGGAUAACAGCGUAAUUCUUUUUGAGAGUUCUUAUCGACAAAAGAGAUUGCGACCUCGAUGUUGAAUUAAGAAUAUUAGUGGGUGUAGAAGUUCAUUAAAUAAGUCUGUUCGACUUUUAAAUUCUUACAUGAUUUGAGUUCAGACCGGCGUGAGCCAGGUCGGUUUCUAUCCUUAUAGUAGUAAAACAUUUUAGUACGAAAGGACCAAAUGUUAAAUAAAAUAUUUUUAUUUAAAGAAUAAUAUUACUAUUUUGGCAGAAAGAAAAGGAAAUGUGAUGAAUUUAGAAUUCAUG